AACGCACGAGACCUGCGGACCUGCGGAGGGAUCAUUAACGAAUAACUAUGGUGUUGGUUGUCGCUGGCUCCUAGGAGCAUUGUGCACGCCCGCCAUUUUUAUCUUUCCACCUGUGCACUUUAGUGUAGAUCUGGAUACCACUCGCUUUCCCAAGCGGACUCGGAGAUUGCUGUGUCGCAAGACCCGGCUCUCUUUGAAUUUCCAGGUCUAUGUCUUUUUUACACACCCCAAUUGAAUGAU
rnacentral:misc_RNA from 1 species